GACGAACGCUGGCGGCGUGCCUAAUACAUGCAAGUCGAGCGGAGCGGGGACGGGUGAGUAACACGUGGAAACCCUCUUAUAAGACGGGGAAACCUUGGGGAAACCGGAGCAAAACGGGCUACUUAUAGAUGGAUCCUGGCUGCAUGGGCUAGUUGGUAAGGUAAUGGCUUACUAAGGCGACGAUGCAUAGCCGACCGGUGAGGGUGGUCGGCGACACUGGAACGUGGACAGGGCCCAGAGGCCUGCGGGAGGCAGCAGUAGGGAAUCUGCGGCAAUGGUCGAAAGCCUGACGGAGCAAGGCCGCGUGAGUGAUGAAGGUCUUCGGAUCGUAAAACUCGGUGAUUAGGGAAGCGGUACCUAAUCAGAAAGCCCCGGCUAACUACGUGCCAGCAGCCGCGGUAAUAC
rnacentral:rRNA from 1 species